ACUUUCCAGUCACAGAUAUGUACUCAGGCUAAUUCAACCAAUGAGCUAUUGAAUGUGCAGAGAAAGAUAAGGAAACAGAAAAUGUCUCAGUAGCUAUAUAGCUUGCCCUGGAAACUGGAACAUAGUUUAGAAAAUAAAGACAACUCGUUAUUUAAUAUUAAUUCUAGGUAACAUCUCCUCUGACAUUGCUGGUCCUUAUGCUGCAAGUGCACAAUUUCUUGUGAGCAUUUUCACAUCCUUCUGGUGUUACAGGUUUUUUGAACAGAGUAAUGAACACAGCAGAAGUUGUGCCUUUCACUGCAAGGUUUAUAUUUUAGAUAGUUGUGUUGUUCGCCUG
rnacentral:lncRNA from 13 species